AUCUAAUUUAUUACAAUUUCCAAUCAAAACAUUCUAAUUUUAGUAUGGGCGACAGAACAAUAACCUUGGCGCAAUAGCUUAUGUACCGCAAGGGAAAGCUGAAAAAGAAAUGAAAAAAAUCAUUAAAGUACUAAAAAGCAGAGUUUAUAUCUCGUACCUUUUGCAUCAUGAUUUAGCUAGAAAAAUUAGGCAAAAAGAUUUUAAGUCUACCUUCCCGAAACUAAACGAGCUACUCCGAAGCAGCAUUAUAGAGCCAACCCGUCUCUGUGGCAAAAGAGUGGGUGAAAAGCCUACCGAGUUUAGUGAUAGCUGGUUACCCAAAAAAAGAACUUCAGUUCUGCAUUAAUUUUUUUACCUAGACAAGACUUCCUUAUUAAAGAAUCCAUAAGAAUUAAUAGUUAUUUAGAAGAGGUACAGCCCUUCUAAACCAAGAUACAACUUUUUAAGAUGGGAAAUGAUCACAAUCAUUAAGGUUAUCCUCUCAGUGGGCCUAAAAGCAGCCACCUGUAAAGCAAGCGUCGCAGCUCUAGCAACCUUUAAUUUUGAUACUCAUUCACUACCCUCUUAUUUUAUAAAAAAGAACUUAUGCUAAAAUGAGUAAUAAGAGAACAAAUCUCUCCCGACACAAGUGUAUAUCAGAAGAAUUAAAUCACUGAUAAUUAAACGGCCCCAAACUGAGGCCAUUAACUAGAAAACCCUAUUUUUU
rnacentral:rRNA from 1 species